CGGGACGGGUGAGUAAUGUCUGGGAAACUGCCUGAUGGAGGGGGAUAACUACUGGAAACGGUAGCUAAUACCGCAUAACGUCGCAAGACCAAAGAGGGGACCUUAGGGCCUCUUGCCAUCGGAUGUGCCCAGAUGGGAUUAGCUAGUAGGUGGGGUAACGGCUCACCUAGGCGACGAUCCCUAGCUGGUCUGAGAGGAUGACCAGCCACACUGGAACUGAGACACGGUCCAG
rnacentral:rRNA from 1 species